AAGGCUAGCUUCCGCCAACCCCUCAAACCGCCAUUGACUUACGGUGCGCAUGCGCGCUCUGGGCACUCCGCCUCCCGUCUUCUCGCGAUUAAACAGGGCUGCUGCUCCUGCCUUACUCCAUCCCACCUUCGUUCGCGUAACAUAGGUCUCGCCCGGAGAGCACGUUUUUGGACGCGCCCACCCUGCUGCUCGAAUUUUAACGCGUGCCAAAGCUGUACGCCUGCGCAGUUCCAUCAUUCGCGCCUUUGUUUACGCUUCCGCUUCGGCAGCAAGAUUUAUCCUCCAGCCUUUCUCCGCUCCUCCUGCUCGGCGCCAUCUUGUCUUCUUCCAGCUGACUUUACAUUGUACGAGGUUGAGACAGAAGGAGCGUUCGCCCAGGCCUUCGCAGAUGGGUGCGCCAGCAACUGCUGGGCCGGGACAGUGAAGCAGAGGAGGGGGAGGUGGGGAAGGUGAGCCCAGUUUCGGGGGACUGCAACGCCUUUAACCCCCGUGCGGGCCCAGCCCUGGCCGCCCCUGUGAAACGAGGGCCCUGGGGUUCCCUCUCACCCCCCUGGCCCGAGGGCGCCACCUCUAGGCCAAGGCCCGCUCCUCGGCCUCCUGUGACCGCGUGCUGAGCCAGGGCUUGGGCUGGGCGGAGGGGGCCUAGCAGCUAGCCUUGGGAAAGGGCAUCUUGGAUUACGCGGCGGGAGCGAUGCGCUCUGCCCCCCAGUGCCGGGACACCAGCUCUCGGCCAUCUCGGUGGAGAUGGGCCUGGCCAUCACGCUCUGUUGGCUGGGCGCCUGCUGGGAGUACCACACCCUUUGGGGACUCCCGCACCACAGUCAGCAAGGUCAUAACGGGGCGUCGGCGAGGCGGUGGUGUGGUGGUUUGGUCCCUGCCACGUGCUGCCCUCAGAGGGCUGGGUCUGCAGGUCCUGGCGGCUGCUUUCUGUAGCCGUACACGGCUGCUACAACUGGAAGGGUCCCAUUCUGGCCCCGGGGAUGCUCAUAGUUGAUUGUAAAGGGUCUGGCACUUGUUGGUCGGGGAGGUCCUUUGAAGAAUCUGGAUUCAGGUUGCCUUGGGGGGUGCCAUCCACCACCACUAGGUGCGCCACCACCAGGGACUUCAGGGUUGGCUCCGCGGGUCGCCCAGGCUGGAGGCAUGUUGUUCCCAGGAGCAUAGAGGGUGAUCGUAUGUGGAGUUCACAGUACGCAUUGCUCCCGUGGUUGAUGAAAACCCUUUGCAGGUGAGAUAGGAGCAUCCCAGGUGCGGGAAGAGUUUAAUCCAGGCUGUUCGCUAGGCCUGGGCACACUGGGUAGGGCAGGGCAUUUGAAACGGAGCAGGGCAGGGCUGUGACCUUCCCACCCACACUCAUUGCUUUUGCUGCCUACUUUGCCUGUAACUGUAAUAUGAAGGUUAGAAAGAAGGCUGCUGGGAUGGGUGGCUCCACUGGAUUGGAGGAGAGAGGGAACUGGAGCCAGCCAGGGGCCCCAGAAGAAGAGGAGGAAGGGAGGCGAAGCCGAUUCGACACCAGCUGUGUCAGGCUUCGAAGGAUGAACCCGUGAGGGCAUUGGGCCACACAGUGACAUUUUCAUCCCUCCUCACCAGCUGUUCCUGGCUCCCCAAGACUCAACCAUGGAAGGUACAGAAAGGUGUGUGACAAGAAACUCAUGGCUUUUAAUCCUGGCAGGAAGGACAAGGAAAACCAAGGAUAAAGAUUUGAUCAAGUUUUACUAUUUUCCCACUGGAGAUGGGGGAGGGGGAAUCAGUCAUAUUUAAUAAACAGCGCUCUUCUCAUCCCU